CCCUUUUAGGGUUAAAAAGUUCUGUUUGACGUAAAUUAAUCAGAUAAAAACAUCACAGCAAUACACUCCACACAUUUCUUCAGCAGAGCAUUAAAUAUAUCGCGCGUGGAGGAACGUUCAGACACAACUACGCAAUGGCGUCGUUUGAAUCGGUUCUUUGAAAUCACUAUUCGAAGUUCAAAAGAACCGAUUCAAAUCGGACAAAUAAAUCGAAACUCCCAUCAUCCUCGAGCUCUGCAGGAACACAGACACACAUUCAUUCCUUUCCACUUGAGGAAAACUUUACAGAGUUUUGACGACUAUUUAUUGUUCGUGAGGUCAGAACGAGGGAAAAGAACAUCGCUCAUAGGGGUAUAAAGUCAUUAUGAUCUGCACGAUAUGCUCAACAUCACCAGCUCCAACCACCCCCAUAUUCCUCCCCUGUAUUCACUCUGCAUCCGGAGUCGGAGCAUGUUGAUAAAUGAGGAGAGGGCGUCCAGGGACUCUCUCCGUUAAGGACCGUGCCGCGCGAUUUAUGACGUCUCUCUCGCAGACUUCACGAUGAUUAAUAUGGCUCCUCCGUUCACCGCGGCAGAUCGGGCGCAGGAGCUGCACUCCACGAGCGCCAGUCGGGCAGAUAACAUCAAAACGGCCUGCUGCUAGUGUUAAGAAAAUACUGCAUUCUGGGUCAGCGCAAAUGAUUCCACAAGGAGCACGAAACUGUUUUAAUGACAGUCCCAUCUAUAUAUUAUCACAUGUGCGCAGAUUGGAACGGAGAGGCUUGCAUUUGCAAAUGUUUUUUUUUCCUCAAUUUGCACCAUAAUGAUUUCACUUCAGUUUAUGAAUGAACUGUAAACUCUAUACAUAUCAACUUAAAAGCUGUUCAUUAUGCCCACAAUGAAAUAACUCAUGUAUGUAAUUUUUAAAAAUGAAUUGAAAGGGAAAAAAAAGGUCAACCGACCUCGAUUUAGAGGACAACCCGGAAGUCUUUCAAUUAUUUGUAUUUUUAUUCUGUUUUUUUUUUUAAUCAGUAAAUGCUUCUCAGCUUUGUUGGCAGGUUUUUUUGAGCCAAUCUAUCAACUAUUCUGAGCUCUGAUGUCAAAGAAAGCAGAAAGAGAAAAAAUGUGAGUCCAUUUUACACUUUUUAUAGUCUUCCAAAGAAGAAUUGUUAAGUGGUUAAACAUAUACACGAAAAUGAAUUAUUUUCAGUUUAAAGCUGCAGUCAGUAAGUUUUGCCUCUUUGUCGCCAUCUCUGUUUGAAAACCUGCAAUUGCAGCUGUUUGCGGAAUUAUCUUCCUUGCGUGGGUUGUGCUCCAGUGCGGAUGAAUCUAAUGUUUUGAGCAGUAUGUGUGUGUGGCAGUCAGUCACCGCACCCAUGUGGAUAUUUACUGUACUUCGCAAUCACAGAUUCUAGCCUACGUCUAGGAAUAUAUGACCCAAAUAAGAUUUUUCACCGUAUAUUGUCAUCUGAACAAGUAACAAGUCUGCCACAUUUGUUCUGACCAACCAAGGAAAAAAGCAUUACAAUAAAUCGUGCUACAUCAGCA
ensembl:lncRNA